AAUGGAAUAUUAGUCAGCCAUAAUAAAGAAUGAAAUAAUGCCAUUUGCAACAACAUGAAUGGACCUAGAGAUUAUCAUACUAAGUGAAUCUCCGCUCACCAUCCUCAGGAGACAUAGCUGGCCCUUUAUGUCAUCAUGGCCCGUGUACAUCAUCAUGGCAACCAUCUCUGCCAGUGGACCUCGAGGCAUGUCUGAACUGCCAUCACAAGCUUUCUUUGUCACUGAUUUAUAGCAUCAGCCCAAAUAAUCAUCUGGCCUGCAUCCUGGCAAGAAGAAAAAGAUACACGGGGUGGUUAACAAGAAGGUAAUGUGUGUGAGUAUUUAGGUAGUAGCUAAUUAUUUUCU